rnacentral:rRNA from 1 species
GCACGAAAACUUUACAAUGCUGGCAACAGCGAUAAGGGAACCUCGAGUGCCAGGUUACAAAUCUGGCUGUCGAGAUGCCUAAAAAGCAUUUCAUAGCAAGGGCCGGGCAAGACCGGUGCCAGCCGCCGCGGUAACACCGGCGGCUCGAGUGGUAACCGUUAUUAUUGGGUCUAAAGGGUCUGUAGCCGGCCGGAUAAGUCUCUUGAGAAAUCUGGCAGCUUAACUGUCAGGCUUUCAGGAGAUACUGUCUGGCUCGAGGCCGGGAGAGGUGAGAGGUACUUCAGGGGCAGGGGUGAAAUCUUGUAAUCCUUGAAGGACCACCAGUGGCGAAGGCGUCUCACCAGAACGGACCUGACGGCAAGGGACGAAAGCUAGGGGCACGAAGC